CAGAGUUAUAAGCUUUGGAUAUAAUACAGACAUGCAACUUUUAUUCUACCUGGCUUAUUAGUAAAAUAAGCUCAUGUUAUCUCUGUUACAAAAUUUGUCAGCAAGAAAAAGUAACUUAAGAUGAUGGCUAACUGCUUUAAUGUCUCAGGAAAUUUUCAUGAAUAAUUGAAUUGUUAAGAGCAAAUGAAUUAUAUAGAUGUUAAUGAAAUAAGAAUUUUUAGGUGCAAUAAUUACGUUUAAUGGUAUGUGUACUUAAAAAUAGCUUCCCCAAAUCCCUUUGGUAACUUGAAACUUUACAGUUUUGUUAAAUUAAACUAAGUGGUGGGAAAUUCAUUGAAUACCUAGAUCAUUCCAAGAUAAAAUAGUAAAACAUUAAUUACUGAACAAAGGUUUACCCACUUUUGGCUUCCUAUUGCAGAGAAACUACAGAUAAAUUUGGGUCAUGUCUUGUGCAACAUUGAAAGAUUGUACUAUGAAGAAACACGUGUUUCUAGAAAGUAUAUGAUAUAUUCAUAAAUUUGCCAAUCUAAAGAAUAUAGGUAUAACAUACCAUUCAUAAUUGCUUACUUCUUAGUUUUCAUCUGAAAUUAAGGCUUCUAAGGGUUAAGAAUUCUAAUUAAUAUAUGUAAUUAAAGCUACUAAAAAUAAUAAGGAAAAAAAUCUUUGUAUGGAAGGAAAAUCAGAUAUAAGGUUUUGAAAAAAAGGUAUGAGGAAUGGAGAUCCAUUUUUGUUGAGGGAAAGAAAAAUAAUUUUGUUCCAAAAUAAAACAGGUUUAUUUCUGAACGGCAAAGAGGGAAAAGGGCAAACUAAAAAGUUAGAGAACCUUUAUGAAUAAGGAAUCUUUGGAAAGAGAUUCAGAAACUCUUAAUGAGUAUUCAUAUUUUCUUGACAAUCUGUUCUCCUUGUAACAGGACACAAUUAAAAAUAUUGCUUAUAUUACCAAGGCUUUGACUCAAAUGUCAUGUUUGAGAGAAAUAUGCAUAAACUCAAAUAUGACCAAACAGCUUUAAGGAACUAAGGUUAGCUCUAUAAAGCCAAUAAAUCCCCUUGGUAAAACAGCCUGGUACCUUACCUACAGGAUUCCUGGCAGCCUAACCAGGUGAUUAAAGAAGGUCAUCUCCUGCCUGGUGCAGAAACCUCAAGAUAUGUUGGGAGUCUCAAGAAGAGAGGCAUUCACCCAAAUCUAUAGGUAUUACAGGCAGAGUGUGAUGGUAAGUAUUUGGUUUGGCUUUUUAGCUUUGAGAGGCUAUUAAAAGUUCAGUCUAGAGAUUCUUUAUGAAAAGUUCUAGCAAAGCAAGUUUAAAAGCACCUAUAUGAUCAAUUAGUAUUCUUGCUGUACUUAUGUAGAUAACUAAGGCAAGUUUAUUAAGACUAGACUUAUUUUGCAAACAAAUUAGUGGGUUUUUUUUAAGAUUGGCACCUGAGCUAACAUUUGUUGCCAAUCUUUCUUCUUCUUCUUCUUCUUCCCCCCAAAGUUCCCCAGUACAUACUUGAAUAUUCUAGUUGCAGGUCCUUCUAGUAGUACUCUUUGGGAUGCUGCCUCAGCAUGGCUUGAUGAGUGGUGCUAGGUCCACGCCCAGGAUCUGAACUGGCAAAACCCUGGGCCGCCAAAGCAGAGCACAGAAACUUAACCACUUGAUCAUGGGGCUGGCCCUGCAAACAAAUUAGUCUUAAUUUGACUAUCUUUGGUAAAAAAAAAAAAAAAAAAAAAAAGAGGAUGAUUUUAGACAGAAAAAUUAUGUUUCAGUAGAAACUAUAAUUCACACUUGUGGAAAUUAGAUUCUAGUGCUGUUAAUUUUCCUUGAAGUUUUAUUUACCUAAAAAGUGAACUGGAUCCUAAUUUCUUCUAGUUUCCUCCAAUAUCUAGCUACAACUCUCCAAACUAACAUUUCCAAUUUUUCUCCCACUUUUGACUUAGAAUCAUUGAGAACUAAAGCUUCCUUUUCCUGGAAGCCCUGUGAGCUGAAGCUGAACAAGUUGAUAUAAACUUAAGAGCGAUCACCACAAUAGCCUGUGUUUAGACAAUCUCCAUGCCUGUUUCUGUGUAAGUCACUCAGAAAGUUUGCCUGAACACCCAAUAACAUCAUCAGAGACAUUUCAAACUGCAAAAGAUGCUUCAACCCUGACAUCUAGAAAUCUUGACUGACAUCCCCUUAGGUUCAGAAACUUAUUUAUAAUUUGCUCCAACCAUUAACCACUGUUUUUAUUUGUUUCCAUAGAAAUGCCUCUUAUUAAAUACCUGAUUGCUGACAUUGUAGACCUAACUUUGAGAAUCUACCUGCAUCACCACCUCCUGAAAUGAGACACAAUUGUUUAACUUAACUGACUUAUUUUUAAGACUAAAAGAUUAAUUUAAUGACAUAAUGGAGCAGUCUGCCAGCUCAUAUUUUAAUAUGUGAAACUUCCAGGGAAGUUUCAGAGGGGGGAACUGUUGGAGCCCAGGAAAGGCUGCCCCAAAAUAUGUCACAACAACAUACUGAUUAUUUUAAACUAAAGUUACUUGUUCUGGCUUAAAUUUUUGACCCUCCUCUCUGUUCCCCCUGAAAGCAGGGAAUAAAUCUCCUGUGUGAAAUGUACCCUCCCCACACCCAGAGAUAGAGACAUCCUUAUCACCAAAGUUAGGGAAUUCAGGAUUGAGAAGCCUGUAUAAACAAACAUUGUUACUUUUACUAAUUUACUACCUCAAGCCUAAACUCUGCUCAAAUUCCUCACUAAUUACGUACCCUAAACCUAAGUUUUUUUAUUCUGUCAUUUCCUCACAAAUUUAUUGUUUCUUUGUAUAAAAAGAUAUAGAAACUGCCUGCUUUGUUCACUUGGAGGGCAUCAUUUCUCUAUGAUCUCCUGUGUGUAUGUAUUAAAUUGGUUUUUCUCCUGUUAAUUUGGUCUUACGUCAACUUUAUUAUUAGUCCAGCCAUAAGAACUCAAGAGGGGUAAAGGAGAGAAGAUCUCCCUCCCUGACAGAUGUUAACUAAACUUCUUGUGGUAAUUAGUUUGCAAUAUAUAUGUAUCUCAAAUCAUUAUGUUGUACACCUAAAGCUAAUACAAUGUUAUAGGUGAAUUAUAUUGCAAAGAAAUUUUUUAACAGUGAAAUAGACUGAGAUGGUGAGAUCUAAUAUUUUUAUUGGCAAGUGCAAAUUUAGUUCAUACAUGAAAUAUGUUACUAAAUUUGACUAAUAUUUAAAUUGAAAUGUAUUCUUUCUUUAAGGUGUGUUUGAAACUAUAGACUGAAUCCAGAAAAUAAAGAUUACUACUGGAUAUUACCAGAUUGUUACUAAAAGUAAUUUUGUUGUAUAGCAGAGUGGGGGAUUGUUAAAAAUGAUCCACUCCAGGUGUUAAUUAUGUAAGGUUCAUCUUGGUCUUAAAUCUCAAAUAAUUUGUUUUCCAUCUCCGUUUCUGGGAGGCAUCCAGUUGCUGACAGUCACUCAAGAAAGGAAGGCAGGCUCUCUUUAUUACCAAACUGGAUCCUGCUUUAGAGAAGCUGGGAGAGUAGUGCUGGGCUGGGAAAAGCUUCUCAGAGGUGGAGAAAAUGCGAUCGGCAGUUCCAGCAGAGUGUGCGGGCUCUCUCCCGCUUCCUCCAGCACUGGUGCCAGAGGAGACCAUGCUCCAGUUUCCUAAUCCUCUCCAAGGCCAAGCUCAUCUUGCUUCUGCAUCUUCCCUUCAUUUAAGGAGGCCCUGUUUGGGAAGAUCUUAGAGCACCUAACAAAUAGCAACUUUGGUCUGUGAGCUAGAGAGGCGUUCGAUUUGUGCAUCCAAGACAGAAGAGCAGGGUCAGGGAAGGGCUACCCAUUGAAAGUCCGGCGGUGAGUGUGUUCUGGCUACAACCUCACCCAUGAUAUAUGCAUCUGGUUAAAUCUAGGCAUAUGCUUCAAGAGUGGUAUAAUUUCAUCCCUCCUCUCUCUGCCAUGGAAUUUGGUCAGUUUUUACCCGUUGAAAGAAACUGACAAUGUUUCUGUCCCUUCUUGUUCGCAUUGUUGCAAUGUUUCUGUUCCUGUGGUUUGUAGUGGAAGCAAAGUUCCCACCCCCAAAUUGGAAGGCCUCUGGAAAAGCAACAACAUCCCUUCGUUACUAGCAGUAUAGCCAACAGUUACUAGCAGUAUAGCCAACUCCAUUCCCCAAUAGCCUCCAAGCUAGUAACAACUAUUACCAUUUACUAAGGAUAGAACUGCAUGUCAAACAGUUGUAUCUGCUUCAUUUCUAAUUCUUGCAGUAACUUCAACUUAUAGGCGAAGAAACUAAAGCUCAGAGAAGUCAACCAAAGUUGCUCAACCUCACCCAGCUAAUGAUAUGAACGGCAAGCCCACAUGUAGGGCUUAUGGAGUGCUGGGCACUCCUCCAGGCAUAGUAUAGAAAUGAGCUCACUAUUCCUCCCUUACAUCUUUUUUUCAAAGUUUUUGUAAAUUAUUUUUGAUUGUGGCAAAAUCCAUAUAACAUAGAAUUUACUUUCUGAACCAUUUUUAAAUGUACAUCUCCAUGGCAUUAAUUGCAUUCACAUUGUCGCGCUAGGCUCACCACAAUCCAUCUCCGGAAUUAUUUUCAUCUUAUAAAACUGAAACUCUGUACCCAUUAAAUAAUAGCUCCCCAUUCUCUCCUCUCCUCUUCCCCCAAAUAUUUUAAGGCAGAUACUAUUAUUAUCCCAACCCCACCCUACAGAUGAGGAAACUGAGACCCAGAGAGAUUCAGUAACUUUCCCAGAUCACAGCUAGUAUGUGGCAGAGCUGUAAUUCACAGCUAGACAAUCAGGCUCCGGAAGUCCAGUGCUUAGCCACUCUAGGGCCCCAGGGACAUCUAACAGUGUUAUGCUAUACUGUCUUUCUGCUAUUAACCUAUCCAGAAGACCAAGAAACGGGGACCUAGAAAGUUGAAACAAAUUGCAGAUAAAUCCUUGUAAAGGCAGAAGAGGGAUUUGCAUUCAGACCCCGUGGAUCUCAAGCUGCCUAGCCUGUGGCUUCCUGCAGGAUGAUUAGAUUAGAGCAGCGACCAUAUGCCCCUUGAGUCCCGCUCUCUGCUUCCAUCCAUACCCCAAAGCAGCUCAGGUCCUCUCCCCUCAGUCCUGUGUGAAGUCAUGGGCUCCAGCUUGCUUGUGAUGAAGGAAGUGAAUUGCAGGUUCUGGCCAGUGAGUAGUAGGCUGGGCCCCAACUGGGACAUCCUGACUUGACCCUUCUGUACCCUGAGGGGAUGCUGUCUGUGCUAGAAUAGCCUGUGCUCUCCAUAGCUGCUGAGGAAGCCCCUCUUCACCUUUCCAGGCCAGAGCUUACCUCUCUCACACUUCUGUCACCUAUCUAACACUGAAUGGAAGACCAGCUGGACCCUUACCUAGCACCUGCAUUCAAGUGGGUGGCGUCAAGGAGGUGGCACUGUCCUGCACACACGUUUCACAUCCUCAUCCUUAUUUACUUCUUCUAGCUUUUCCUUCCUGUUUCCAGCCCUCAAAAUGACCAGCCCUGAGGAAGAGCAGCUUCACUAUGACAGUUGAUAGGAGGUUUUUCCAGUUGAUCAAUGUCAGCUUGGCACCCUUCCUGGGUAAGGUAGAACCUUAGAGCUCUAAUUCGUCAGCACAUUCUAUGAGCUUUCCCCAGAAUAAAUGCCACCACUAACCUCUGCUCACCCCUCCACGAACAACACCCUAGUCCAAGCCCCAUGUUCCUCGCCUGGCGAGCACUCAGACCUCUCUCAACCCUGACACCUCCCAGGCACAAGUGGCCAGAGUCAGCCUUUAAAAAGUCAGUCAGAGCCUCUAAGAUCAGGAACAAGACAAGGACGCUCACUUUCACCACUUAUAUUCAGCAUAGUACUGGAGUUCUAGCUGGAGCAAUUAGGCAAUAAAUAAAUAAAUAGAUAGCAUCCAAGUGGGAAAGGAAGAAGUAAAAUUAUCUCUGUUCACAGGCGACAUGAACUUGUAUGUAGAAAACCCUAAAGAUUCCACAAAAAUCUGUUAGACCUAAUAUACUCAUUUAGCAAAGUUGAAUCAACACACAAAAAUCAGUUGUAUUUCUAUACACUAACAAUGAACAAUCUGAAAAGGAAAUUAAUAUAACAAUGCUACUUACAAUAGCAUCAAAAAGAAUAAAAUACUUCAGGAAUAAACUUAACUAAGGAAGUGAAAGACUUGUACACUGAAAACUAUAAAACAUUGCUGAAAGAAAUUAAAGAAGACACAAAUAAAUGAAAAUACACCCUGGUCAUGGAUUGGAAGACUUAAGAUUGCUAAAAUGUCCACGCCACCCAAAGCUAUCUACAGAUGCAGUGCAAUCCCUACCAAAAUACCAACAAGGUUUUUUCAGAAAGAGAAAAACCCACCCUAAAAUUCAUAUGGAAUUUCAAGAACAAAGCUGGAGGACUUAUACUUCCUGAUUUCAAAACUUACUACAAAGCCACAGUAAUCAAAACAGUGUGGUGCUAGUACAAAGAGAGACAUGUGGACCAGUAGAAUAGAAUAGAGAGCCUAGAAAUAAACGCUUGCAUAAAUGGUCAAAUGAUUUUUGACAAAAGUGCCAAGACCACUCAAUGGGGAUAAAUCAGUCUUUUCAGCAAAUGAUUGUUGGGAAAACUGAAUAUUGACAUGCAAAUCAUGAAGUUGGACGCUUACCUUUCACCAUACACAAAAUCAAAAGUUAAUUCAAAAUGAGUCAAAGACCUACACACAAGAACUAAAACAAUAAAAUUCUUAGAAGAAAACAUUGAGGGAAAGCUUCACGGUGAGAUUUAUCAGUGAUUUCUUGGAUAUCAUAAGAAAAGCAUAGGCAAGAAAAGAAAAAAAUAGAUAAAUCGGCUACAUCAAAAUCUAAACCUUCUGUGUAUCAAAGUACACAACUACUAGAGUGAAAAGUGAACCCAUGAAUGGGAGAAAGUAUUUGAAAAUCAGAUAUCUGAUGAGGGGUUAAUAUCUAGAAUAUAUAAAGAACUCCUACAACUCAAUAACAACAAAACAAAUGAUGCAAUUAAAAAAUGAGCAAAGAACUUGAGUAGACAUUUCUCCAAAGAAGACGAACAAACGACUAACAAACACAUGAAAAGAUGCUCAACGUCACUAAUCAUUAGGGAAAUGCAAAUCCAAACCACAAUGAGUUACCACCUCAUAACUAUUAGGAUGGCUAUUAUUAAAAAAAAAAAACAACCCAGAAAAUUUGUCAAUAAGAAUGUGGAGAAAUUAGAACCCUUGUGCAUUGCUGGUGUGAAUAUACAAUGGUGCAGCCUCUGUGGAAAACUGUAUGGUGGUUCCUCAAAUAGUUAAAUAUGGAAUUCCCACAUGAUCUAGCAAUUCUACUUCAGGGUAUAUAUUCAAAAGAAUCGAAAGCAGAACUCAGAGAUAUUUGUACACCCAUGUUUAUAGCAGCAUUAUUCACCAUAGCCAAAUGGUGGAGACAACCCAAAUGUCCAUUAAUAGAUGAAUGGAUAAAAUAAAAUGUGGUAUAAUCCAUAAAAUGGAAUAUUAUUCAGCCUUAAAAAGGAGAGAAAUUCUGACACAUAUGACAACAUGGAUGGACCUUGAGAACAAUAUGCUAAGUGAAAUAAACUAGUCACAAAAGGAUAAAUACUGUAGAUUCCACUUAUAUGAGUUACCUAGAGUAGUCAUAUUCGUAGAAACAGAAAGCAGAAUGGUUGAUUGCCAUGACCUGAGGGGAGGAGGGAAUGGGGAGUUGCUUAGUAGAUACAGAGUUCCAGUUUUUCAAUAUGCAGGGAGUUCUGGAGAUGGAUGGUGGUGAUGGUACACAACAAUGUGAAUAUACUGAACCAUAUACUGAAAAAUUAUUAAGAUGGGAACUUUAUGUUAUACGUAUUUUACAACAAAAAAGAAAAGUCAAUCAGACCAUCUUGCAUGAUGUCUCUGAGUCCCUCGUGGUUUUCCACCUCACUCAGAAUAAAAUCCAAACUCCGUCCCUGAGCUGAGAGGGCCCCAGGUUCAGCCACACAGGCUCUGCUUUCCCUGAACGUGCCCAGUACAUCCCGUCUUGGGGCCCUUGCUCUUCCUCUUUGUUCCAUCUUCAUGGCAGGCUCUUUUCCCAGAUAAUUGCAUGGCCCAUUCCUUUAUUUCAUUCAGGACUCCACAUAAACAUCACUUCCUUUGACCAUUAUAUUUAAAAUAGCACAUCCCUCAAACCCCGUAUCAUACUUUAUUUUCUUCACAACUUUCUUCAGUAUCUGGCAUUAUCUUAACCAUUCAUUAAUGUCUUUAUUGUCUGUCUCCAUCACUAGAAUGAGAACUCCACAAGGCUAGAGACUUUGCCUUGCUCAUUUCUGUGUCCCCGCUGCCUAGAACAGUGCUGGCCCACAGUAGAUGUUCAGUAAAGAUGAGUCAAAGGGACUAAUGAAGGAAGAAUACUGCACAACAGACAUGUUGGUGAAAUUGGUGGAGGAGGUAGAACUGGGAGCUACCAAACGGUGGAAUCAGGAUCCCAAAAGACCUCGAGAGCCACGCCUGAAGCUAAUAUUACAAGCAUUACGAUUUUACAUCAAGUUGGGAAGUACCCAAAAGCUGAAUCCGAGUCCAUGCAGAUUUUUCCAGAAGCCAGAGGACACCCCAGGGUGAGGAUCAUCUCCACCCGCUCUGUCUCAGCCACAGAAGGAAAAUGACGUGUCUCUGCGGGGCGCGAAGAGCAAGCUGCGCCGCUGGGAGCCCGCGGUCCCCUGCUCCAUCAGCAGGGCGCCUCUGGGUCUGUCAUUGUGGUGAAGCUGGGACCCGGCCUCCAGUGGGGCUACACUGCGUGGCCCCAGGCUAAUUCGGUACAGGUGCUGUGCCACUGCGUUGGGGUCCCCUCCCUGCAGGCUCUGACGGGCCAUCAUCUCGUCCUCCCCAGGGCUUCUCCCAUGCCUUGGCGGAAUGGCUUUGUGCCCCAACAAUGUGUAAAUGCCGAUGCUAUUUAACCCUUUGAAACUCUAAUUUUAUAAACAUAAUUCAUCUUAUCAAUCAUGCUAUUAUACAAUGUUUAUAAUAGAUCUAUUUUCUCUAUCUUCAUUGAGCAUCAUAAAGAUAUGUACGUUUCUAUGGACAAGAAUACACAGGCCAAAACCACAUGAGCAUGUACUUUACUUUUCCUUUAUUUCUAAAUUUAAAAUUCUUUGUUUGGAAAAUUUUCAGAUACAUCAAGUUUACUCCCUAACUACCUCAGUUGAGACUUAGAGGUCUCAAGUCAAUUAGGGAACCUUAGGAAAUGUGUUUUAAGUUGAUAUUAAAGAAAAUAUAAUCACCGUUAUUGUGACAAAUUUGCUGGAGAGACAACACCCAGGACAGUGAAGAUGGAGCGAUUCUCUAGGUUCAUGUAUUCUGCAGUGUUUUACACGAAGCCGUUAGUCGUUCAAUACACAUGCUUACAUCUACAGUCUUAAAUAUUUCAUGUAAGUAACAAGCACCUCUGACAAGUAUAAGGAAUUUGGUAUAUUCUAUUUAAUUAAGCUUGUGGUGAGAUGAUAAUUCCAAAGUCUUGCAUAAACUCAAAAGUUAUAUUUAAAUUAUAUUGCACAUUGUGACAAAAUCAGAGAGAAGAUAUAUAACUAUCUUUUAAUCCAAAAUUCAUAAUUGAUUAGGAGUAUUAAGUGAACUCAAAAUGUGGAUUUUUAUAUAGUUUUCAUGUCCUUAUUUUUACUAAGUAAUAUUAAAAUUCUUAAAAUUUUACCACA
ensembl:lncRNA